UGUAUAUGUUACAGCCAUUAAUUAGCACAUUCCUAAUGAAUAUAGUAAUCUUAUCCCCCUAUGCUACUUUAUAAGAAAAUACUGUUGUCAUCAGUGAAUAGGUCAAGUGGUGGUGCCUGUGGUGAAUCACUUUUCCUUCUUAUUGGUGUUUGGCUUGGAACUUGUUGCUCUUAAAAGUAAACAAAUGAAAAUUUAUAUAUUGUUUAUUAUAGUAUAAUGUUAUGACUAUAAAUCUAACCUUACUUCACUAGAUAUCUAAGCCUUUCAGUUUAAUAUGGAGAAAUUUGCUCCAAAAAUGGUACCUCUCGGUUGUCUAAUAUUAUUCAGCGGUGUCCUUGGAGAUACAGAAGGCACUCGGCCAGUUGGGAGAGGUGAUGCAUUUUCCACGGUAAAGAAUUGUGACUGCCUUCCUAUAUAUAUAUAUAUAUAAGAAACAACUGUUUAUUGGUUUAGAAAUAAAACACCUAACUGUGAAAGAAAACAAACAUAUUUUUAUACCAAUAUAACUAGCAUCUUUUGUAAGAAGUGUCCUGCUGGUGUCUACAUCUGGAACAAUAGCAACUGGUGAAGAGACAAUGGCAGAGGGUUUCCUGAUGAAUGGUGAAUGUGGAACCAUGUGAAAUGAUGGUGAAGAUACUUCAUGGAAAUACUGUACAGACAUGCUUGUAAAUUACUAGAAAAGAGAGAGAAUUAGUUUACUAGAAAAGAGACAUAUAAUUUAUACUAGAAUUACUAGAAAAGAGACAUAAUUUUAUAGGUUGUUAUUGAUAUCCUAUGAGGUUUAUAGAGGUGGUAAAAAG